UUGUGGUUAAAAAGCUCGUAGUUGGAUCUCGGCGGACUGAGGGCGGUUUGCUUGCUAGUAUUACUGCCCUAUAGUCCGUAGUUUUGCCAGAGGUUUCGGGGUGCUCUUAAUCGAGUGUCCCGGGAUGCUGGCAGGUUUACUUUGAAAAAAUUAGAGUGCUCAAAGCAGGCUAUUACGCCUGAAUAUUCGUGCAUGGAAUAAUAGAAUAGGAAGUCGUUUCUAUUUUGUUGGUUUUCGGAAAUCGACUUAAUGAUUAAUAGGGACAGUCGGGGGCAUUUGUAUUCAAACGACAGAGGUGAAAUUCUUGGACCGUUUGAAGACAAACUACUGCGAAAGCAUUUGCCAAGAAUGUUUUCAUUAAUCAAGAACGAAAGUUAAAGGUUCGAAGGCGAUUAGAUACCGCCCUAGUUUUAACCAUAAACGAUGCCAGCUAGCGAUCUGCGGACGUUUUUUUUGUAGACUCCGCAGGAAGCUUCCGGGAAACCAAAGCAUUUGGGUUCCAGGGGAAGUAUGGUUGCAAAGCUGAAACUUAAAGGAAUUGACGGAAGGGCACCACCAGGAGUGGAGCCUGUGGCU
rnacentral:rRNA from 1 species